UAAGAUAUCAAGUUGUAUGAAGAGCCGCUAACUCUUCUUUUAGCAGUUAAAUUCUGUUAAUAUCUUUA
rnacentral:tRNA from 1 species